rnacentral:lncRNA from 1 species
GGGGACACUACAUCAGUGCAUAACCUAGGGGGGGGCUUUACUUUCUAAAUCAUCAUGAAUCAAGUUGAAUCUACUGGCAAAUCCUUUUCAAUCCUUGUCAUAUGAAGAGAGAUUAUGAAGAGAAAUUAUAGAUAAAAUUUAUCGGUGAUCAUCAGGCAUUGGACAUAAACAUUACACAACAAGUUGGAAAUCGCAAAUUCAACAAUGAGUGGUUUGGAAGGAAUCAGUGGGUAACUGCAAGCAUUGCAAAGCAAUCACUAGCCUGCUAUUCAGUGGAAUGUGUGUGUUAUCCAAGUCUGGGUUUAAUUGUCUCUUUUCCAAGCUUGUCAAUCCAGCAUGACUUCUGUCACGUUCAAAACAACUGGAAACUCAGAACUGUGAAAUCUCAGACUUCAGUGAGUUCAAGACAACUGGGAACUCAGAAAAAAAGCAAGCUUCGACUGGGAAAAUGCGUUUUGAAUGGUCAUCGAAUUCGGAAUUCCAAGUCGGGAAUUCUGACCUCUUUGUAGACUGCCGACCUGAAGAUCACUGACGUCAUGAUUCCACCAUGUUUUUUCAGACUUCCCAGUUGUCUUGAAAGCACUAAAUCCAGAGAAUGCCAGACUUUGAUGACCCAUUUUGAUGGCAAAAUUUGCCCACGAAAGACCGCCGCACCACCUUCCUGUUCAAGUGAGCACAGCACAACAAGCAUCAGCAGAACACGCCUGACUCUCUUCCACCAGUCAUACAAGGAGAAUGGUCUAAUGCCUCCCAUCAAAAUGAGAGCUGACCCAAGCAAGCAAAGGCAGCAGCGCAAUCAUCAACUACAUGCACCAUUUCUUCACCAACUACGGAGUUGGGGAAACACGUGUGGAUCUGAAUUGUGAUAACUGCAGUGGUCAAAACAAGAACAAGUUUGUGCUCUGGUAUUGUGCCUGGCGGACCAUGCACAAGCUCCACCACAAUCUGGACCUUCACUUCCUGAUCACAGGCCACACAAAGUCUGCCCCCUACUGGUGCUUCGGCCUCAUCAAGCAGCGCUUCAGAAAGAUCAGAGUAAACACUGUCUGAGAUUUCUGGUGUUGUGAAGGACAGCACUGUGACAGGGGUCAACAUCCCACAGCUGGUUGGACUGGAGGAUGAUACGGUGCUGGUGGAAAGCUAUGGCUGGCAACAACACCUGACUCCGUACUUCAGGCCGCUGCCACAGAUCAAGCAGUACCAGCACUUCAGCUUCAAUGCUCUGGUGUUGUUGUCGCCAAGGAGCGUUCGGACUGUCGGGAGCAGGUUUCAGCUGCUGCGUAACGCUAACAUCCUUCCUCCCAUAGAUGGUCUGCUUGUACAAGCACCACCUGGACUGGACACAGCUUGACAAACGUAUCUUUUUGGGAAGAUCAAGGAGUUUUGCGACAAAGAGGCUAUUGACAUCACAUGCCCUGCAACAAAGUCAAGGGCAGGACAGAAACAGGCUCUCAGAAUAUAGAUUCCCUUGUUCAUGCGUGGUUCAGACGGACUAGUCAUCAGCACUAUCUGCAGUGCCUCUAUUCAAAUGUCUCUCUCCUAACACACAUGCCAUACGUUGCUGCUACUAUUUUUUUUUAUCUUGCUGCUCAGCUGAUUGUAUGCAUAUAACUACCUCAUCUAUCACUGAUAUCGUUAUUGAUAUUGUUCUUGUACAUACUGUAUAUCAUUUUAUUUUGACACUAUCCAUUUCUGAUAUUGCUACCAUUUGGCUCUACCGUUUCUACCUUCUGUAGAGACCCAUCCACUUAGCAAACUUAGCAAAAUAUUGAUUCAAAAAAUGAAUAUUGAUACGUGUGGUCGUAACAUGAUUUUGUGACAUACCACAUCAACAUCAUGUGACCGUAUCAAGUGUCCACCACAUAAAUAUAUGGCCAUCCACAUAAAUAUAUGGUGCAUGCAUCUGUUUAUGUACUGUACAUGUGCACCUCACUCAGGUUUCAACUCAGGAUGCAUGGCCUUAACUUAUGUAUGGUAUACUAUGUGAUAAGUCCGUGUGUAACAGUAUAUAAAGUAUGCUAAUGUACUGGUGUGAAGACAUUUGGGCAGUGGUCAAAAGUACUUCAGUACAAAUACUUUAAAGUAUAAGUUAAGUAUUUUGGGGGGGUAUAUGUACAUUACAUUACUUUUUAUAUUUUUUGCAACUUUUACUUUUACUUCACUACAUUCCGAAAGAAAAUUAUGUACUUUUUACUCCAUACAUUUUCUCUGACACCCAAAAGUACUCAUUACAUUUUGACAGGAAAAUUGUCCAAUUCACACACUUAUCAAGAGAACAUCCCUACUGCAUCUGAUCUGGCAGACUCACUAAACACAAAUGCUUAAUUUGUAAAUUAUGUCUGAGUGUUGGAGUGUGCCCCUGGCUAUCCG